GAGAUACUCGGGUGUGGGCCAACUGAAAACAAACCAACCCCUUCUGUUUAGAGCUGGAAGACAUCUCCAUCAUCUGCUCAAACGGAUAAUGUUUCUAUGUUAGACUGAACUAUGACCUUAAAAAUAAGUCUGCCACCAUGGAAGACAGAUGUGCAUCUUCCCAACUUCUGCCCUCAACAGGAAAUGGCAAAAACCAGCAUGGCAAAGGUGGUGGUGUUUCAUUAGGAUUCUGAAGCCAGGGCACCUUAUGUUAUAAGCAGCAUAUCUGCUGUACUCAGCAUUAGAGGCCAUAUUGGAGUCUGCAGGCCAGCAGUGGCUUUAAAUGAUGUUUCCAGUGAAAUGGCAUCGUGGCACAACUUUGGUAUUAUUCACGGCUGUAGACAUUUUACUGUUUCUCUGACUUCUUGGGAGAUUUUAUGUAUGAUCUCAUAUCCUUUAAUAAAUAAUUAUUUUUAUAGGAUGGCUGGAGUUAUUCUCCAUGAUUUGCAACUAUGGAAACCUUCAUCUAGGCGUUGAUUCAGAAAGUUAUCUCUCCUUUUCCCUCUCUCCUUCUCGUUGACUGUUUGUUCCCAUCUGUGUCCUGACUGUAAGCCUGCCCCUUUAAUUGCAGCAUGGGGGAAGAGAGAGAGAGAGAGAGAGAGAGAGAGAGAGAGAGAGAGAGAGAGAGAGAAGCAUCUCUACACAGGUUCUAAAAGUGACAUAUCUCUCUCUCUCACAACACACACACACACACACACACACACACACACAAACACACACACACAUGACUCACAUUGUCAUUUAAAAUCCCAAGGGACACUGAGACUUGUAGUUUACUGGGAAACUGGAAUGGAAGUCUGCCACAGAGUAUCUUAAUGUUUUUAGGCCUAGGAAUGUGAUUUAAAGCAUUUCAUUCUCCGAUUUUAGACCUGCCCACUCUUUUCGGUGGUCUCAAACUAACAUGUUCCCUGAGAGAUACAUAUUCUAGAAGCAGGCUCACAUGGAUUUGCACCCUGUCAUCAUUAGUUGUGAGCUGUCAGAUUUGGUUGCUUGCUGAGUGACCUUCUCUAUAAAGCCUGUGUCUCAGUAAUGCCUCCUUCAGAAGGCUGUGGUGAGGACUGGACACCGAGUUAUGUGGCAGUCAGCAUUUUGAUUGUGAAUAAUAUAAUUCUGGAUAAAUAUUACCAUUUAAAAUUGGUCUCUUUGUUCCCCGCAUCACAAAAUGAUCUGUAAAACAAGUGCUUAUUUGCUAUCCUGCUCGGCGGUAUUCUGGAACUUAAUUUUACCAUCUCUGAAAGGCCAGUGGUGCAUUUGUAUUCCCAGGCUCACCUUUGAUGACCUCACAUCAGGAGUCUGAAAUUCGCCUUUGUGACAAUGAAGUUUCCCAUGGGGACGGGUGAGCAUUACGAGGUUUCAGGUUCUGCUCUUACCUUUCACUGUGGCAGCCACUGGUAACCUCUAGUUUAUUGUGCCUUGUGUGAAGGCAGAACCUGGCUCAGAGCUACCCAUCAGCAGAUUCUCCUCACUUACCCUCACUUACGCUUGGAGCAGCUGAGUAAUGGUGCUGGAGCAAAAUAAACUAUCGACCUCUAGAGCUGUGGAGAUAUAUACGCAGUGAUCUACCCCAUGUCCAAAAGUUCAGAGUGUCUGACGGUUGAAGAGUCACCCAGUAUCUACAGACUUACUUGUUUGGUGGGAACCCCUGCUCACCCCUGCAUAAACUGGGAAACCCCAUCCGUCCUCCUUCCUCUAACAAUCCACCCAAGAAUGCCCACCCAGAAGCUCAGUUUUUGACCAUACAUGAGUACAAUCUCAGCUCCUAGCUGACACAUCAUCGCUCCCUCCCUAAGCUCUAUAAAAGCCCCUUGUGUUAGCCCCAUUGUGUGACUCCACUCACUUCCACCUGACCCACCUGAGAGCUGCCUCCUAAUAAAUCUGCCUUUAUCUAUUUCUCUACCUGUAUCUGCUUCUCCGAGGGAGAAAGAAAGCCAUUCAUUACUCGGCAGUAUGAAGGAGUUUCUUGAUAGCUGGCAGGGAAAACAGUGGUGGAGAUAGAAGAUCAGGGUGCACUAACUGCAUAGGAUUGAUGUCCCUGGACCUCACCAGUGUGGAGUGGAAUAAAACCCGAUAUGUAGCUUUGUUACUAGAGUGCAUGCCUAGCACAAAAGAAGCCUUGUGUUUGACCCCCAGCACUGCAAAAAGCGCAUGAGAGCAUCAUAGGACUCUGGAGAUGGAGGCAGGAAAAUCAGAGGUUCAAGGUCAUCGUCAGCUACAGACUCAGUUUGAGGUCAGGCUCUCAUAUAGGAUACCUGCCUCAAAGCAAACAGAAGAAACUCACAAACAAACUAAAGGUAGAAGGGCAGAUGAUGGUCUUUCUGGUUCUCACUCAAUAAGGUCUUUUCUAGUUUGCUUUUGCAAACUAGACCUUUUACAGAAAACCACACAUAAACAAUGUAGAGAUGGAGGGCCCAGAGCCCAGUCCCAAUGGAUACAGUUAUAAAGUGCUUAAGGCUCAAGGAACAUUGUGGGAGAGAGGACUGUAAGAUUGUAAGAGUCAGAUCAUUUGCCGAGAGAUCAUGUCUCCUAGAAGUGUCAGAAGUUACAUGCAUAGUGUCUUACCAACAUGAACUGAUCAGGGACACACAUAAACACCGUAAACAUGUAUCUGAAUAGACAUGCUAAAGUGGACAGAGUAAAGUUCACGAGGCCUCAACCCUGCACAAAGAACUACAGGCAUAAAGGAUUGGGCAAAACCGUCCUUGGUAGGGAAGAGUACAUGAAUUGGUUCUCCAAUACCAAUGGCAACUCUGAAAGCAUACAUACUAAUAAAAUAGUACAGCCUGGCCAAUAUGUGUCAGAUAUGUAUUUAGAAACCUGUGUCUGUGUGUGUGUGUGUGUGUGUGUGUGUGUGUGUGUACACAUACACACAUAUAACAACAACUAAUUUAAAAGAGGCCAUGAAUUUAAAAGGGAGCAAAGAGGGAUGUGAGAGGUGGAUUGGAGGGAGGAAAUGGAAAGGAGAAAUGAUGUAAUUGUAUUAAAUCUCACAAGUAAAAGAAGUCAGUUUUUAGAAAGGAGAACAAGGCUGAGUUGGUGGUUGACUGAGUCAGGAUGUCAGUAGUGUUGUGGAGCAGGUCAGGGACCCUCCCUAGGAUGAGUUUCCUUUGCUGUAAUCUUGGGGCAAAUGAAAUUGCUUAAUUUGACCUUCCACUUGGUCCUGGGAUCAACUUGGGUAAUUCUUUUAAAUUAUCUAUACUUAGUAAUUUGUGGGGAGGGCCCUAUUCUUGUAUCAUCUCAACACUUUCUGAAAAUCACCACAGAGUGUGGUGGAGGAGAACACCUUAAACUGCUCCCAGUUCUUGAAUCUCCUCCCACAGAUAGGCCAGGCCCACCCUUCCCCCUCCUAGGUGUUAAAUGAAUAUUUAUCUGAAAGACCUGUGUUGGGGCUGGAGAGAUGGUUCAGCAGUUAAGAGUAUGCACUGCUCUUUCAGAGGGCCUGAGUUUGUUUCCUAGCACCCACGUGGCAGCUUGACACAUGUAACUACAGUCCCAAGGGAUGUAAUGCUCUCUUCUGGUGAUGGUAGGAACCAGGAAUGCAUAGAAUACUCUGAAACACUCAUACAGAAAUAAAUAAAUACAUUUAAUAAGAUAAUAAAGGAAUGAAUGAAUGAAAAAAAGGAAGAAAGAGAAAAAGAUCAGUGUUGGAUAAUAACAUUAAAACAUCUAUAUAGGAAGGGAGUUGAGUCUAAUUAAGACAUAAACUCUCUCCUGUACUCAUCUGGGCCAAGGCCUGCCUUCCUCCAUCCCUCUACUUUUAACAUUUCACAGUUCCUUUAUGACUUUAAAGAUGAGUUUUACUAAAGUCGAUUGGAAGGGUAUUUCCAUAUAUAUUCCAGUACAGGAGAUAAAGAACUUUUGAACAUGGAAGGGAACUUAGAAAUCCAUUAGAAUCCCACAUCCCUCUUUGUGGAGUAGGCAAGUGAAGGCUCAAAGAUCUAAAGUCCUUGAGGUCACACAGUCAGUCAUUGGUAGAACUGAGACUCGAACACCAAGUUCCGUGCUCCAAACUCAGCUCUUUUGUUACUUGCAGUAGCUCUGCAGAGAAGGGUGUACUCUGAUGGCUCAUGCCGGGCAGAAAACGGUGAUCAAUAAGAACUGAAUAGGUUCUGAAAGUGGGUCUGUCAGGGUCCAUUCAGCAGAGAAACCACCACGGAUUGCCAUUUCAACACGAAGACUUUGCAAGUACUGUGGUGGAAUAAGACACAGCCAUGUGAGAGAGGGGCCCACCCAAUCACGGGGCUUCGCCAGCAAAAGCUAAGAACUGGGAAACUCUGGCAGGAGAGUUACUGAAGCCUAGAGUCUGGCCCCAUUCCGAUCGAAGAGUUUAGAAUCUCUUUUAUUGAACUGAGCUGCCACUGUGCUCUUUGAGGUUGGUUUUCUUUCUUUUUUUUCUUAAUACAAGACCCACUGACUAUG